CCGGAAGCGAGGUGGCAGUUCAAGACGGAAGACAAAACUGCGCCGUUUUUUAUUUGGUGGAAGCCACUAUUUAAACAGGAAAAAUGCAUUACUUUAUAAACGAAGCAGGGAUGUGGCGAACUAAUCCAGCAGCUCAAAUGAACCUGCGCCGGAGCUGGUUCAAGUUUUUGGAUGUGUUGCUACGGUGAUUUAGCCAAACCAGCUUUGGGGAACCAAAAAGCCUGAUCUACGUCAUCUCAUCCUGAAAAUGAUCUGACUGUACGAAGAAGGGGGCCUGGUCUUUGUAAUGCUGCUGUGUGAUGGGACGUCUCAGCACAUAAAGCAACAGGGUUUAUAUCGGUUCUUUCAGACAAAGUUCAAAGCGAUGGAGACAAUCUGCAGACCACAAACACCUGGGCUUGGCUCCUGGGAUUCUUUCCAGUCUGGGUCUUCUGAACCUCCUGGAGGAAAUACGAUUAUAAAACUUCAAUCAUUAAGAACCAGCUCAAAACUUAGGAUAAACCUCCAUUAGAACACGAAGUUUGGUCAUUUAAGGGUCUUCAGAAAUCAGCUGAAUAAUGGGCUUUAAUUCUUCUCUUGAUCGCAGCAGAUUGUUCUCUAGGUUUUUGUUUUUAAUCAUUUCUUAAGCAAUUAUUACCAUUAAGAAGGUAAUGACGCAGCACUGUGCCCAUUCAAAGAACAGCAGUGUAAACCCGCCGAACGUGGAAAGGUCACACAAGUUCAUCUGAUUCAGAUGUUUAGGUGCUCAGUCUUUCCUUAUUUUAAGAUGUUUGAAUAAGAACACAUCAAAUGUAACGUAUUGAAGUAAUGCUUCUUUGAAGGAACAGUGCAGUUACUUCAUUCUAAUGCCUCUUUCAUUCAUACUUUUUGAAUAUUCCCUCAAAAGGCAUACUUCAGUUUUACAAUAACACUGAAUGUUAGAGAAACAUUGUUUGGAGAUGCUGGAGUCUAGACUGAGGAGGACAGAGCUGCUAACAUUAGCAUGAUCCGCUAAUGUUAGUGUAUGAUUGGCCAGUUGAAGCCCCGCCCCUUCAGGUGAAUUUCAAGUUGCACUGGAUAAACCGCAUCAGCUGAGAUAACGCUACAUGAGACUAACCGAUUCUAAUAGAUUACAAAUAGAUUACAAACAGACUUUCUUCAUGUGCAAAAGUGUCUUUAGACAAAUAUCAAAAUGUCUUAAUUCACGUUGAAAUUUCAAAAAUCAAAAAAGCUCUCUUUGAACUUCAGUCCCAGGAACACAGGAAGGGGAGGGGCUUCCCCAAUCUACAGAAAACUGCAAAUCUCCUCCUCCAUAUUCAGUCCCAACAGUUUGAAUAAAAGAACUUAAAUGGU